GGCAGAGAGAGCUCGGCUCCCGUCGGUCCGCUCCGGACUGACGAGGAAAGUCCCCCCACCGUCCGGACGGGUGACCGGGCGCAAGCCCGGAGUCGGAGACGGCUGGCUCUGGAACAGAGACGAGACCCCUCGACCCGACCGAUGAGACGCGAGCGGCGGACUCCCCGCCGCCGGCGCUCGCGGGGCGACCCGCGGGCGCGCGAACCGACCCGUAAGGGGAGGGAGUUAACCCGUCGAGGGUAGCGCGGUCGCUUCGUGAUCGCGAAAAGUGAGCGGCAUCAGCCGUGAACGGCGCAGUCACGUCGCGACCGCGGAGCGCGAGCGGCGUCAGCCGCGAGCCGCGGGGUGGCGGCAGCCAUCCCGACGCGGACGGACGCACCGCGUCCGUGCGCCGACGGUCGAGAACGGGUGGAACGGCGAAUCCUCACCGGUGCAAGUCCGCGCCGCCAAGGUAGUCCGGACAGGGCGCGGCCGCUCAGCCGAAUGCCGAGACGAACAGAAGGGGGCUUACUCCUCUCAGCC
rnacentral:RNase_P_RNA from 1 species